UUGAAGUGCAUAUUUAUAGUGUUUGGGCAUGGCUGGCCGAGUGGCACUAUAUCCAUGGUAUUGAAAGGGGGAUUUAAUUAUUGCAUGUUUUGUUUGGUUGUGCAUGAUC